rnacentral:misc_RNA from 1 species
GCCCUAUAACCCUCAUAUCCUACUCCGAGUGAUUUUAUUGUAAUAAGGUAACUAAUUGCAUACCAAAAAAGCCUUAUCGCCCAAAUUUGCAGAAAAAGUUUCAUUUAACAUGUAUACAAGUAAAUGUCUGCAAAAUGACUGCUUCAUGAAUUACAAAUAUUAAGACUAUUCUGAAGACACCUCCGUUUUUUGCUGUAUCCUGUUUAUAUCAUGAGUUUGUAGCCUUGUUUGCAAUGGUUUACGUCAUUGGUGUUCAUCACUACAAUCAGAACCUCACUCACACAAUCAAAAUGGUGGACGAAUCGCGUCCAUUUUGUAUCACCUCUUUGUAGAACCAAUUGUGAUAAGUUUGAACUUGUGCCAUAAUGAAAAAUGAAUAAAUCUUGAUACCAG